GGUGAGGCACGAGCUUGAGUUUCCGGUGAGGUACGAGCUUUAAUUUUUGCGAGUUACUUAAGAACGAGACUUGAAGUGCGCACGACUGAGACUUCGAUUAAGAAGAAGAAGAACACCGGCAGGGUCCUAGCGGAAAGAAGGAACACCGGCGGAGUCUUAGCGGGAAGAAGGAACACCGGCGACGGCGACCUCUGACAAACCAGUGACUUCGAAUCGUCUUUUCUCUCUCUCUUUUUUUAAGGAGGAGGUGAAAAAGGAUGUGUAAUUAGGGUUCCAUACACACGAUUUGGGGAUAAAACAGUUUUGCCGCUUUUGUUUUUUUUUUUUAACUUUUAAAUUUUAAAAUAAUUAAAUUAACAUAAAUCAUUUUGGAUUUAGAUUAGGGGUUUAAUUAGAUUUACAGAAAAAAAUUAUGCUAAGUGGACAACUUAUACUUCAUUUUAUGGCAUAGGGACAAUGUACAUAUAUUAUUUUGUUCUAUAUUUCCAAUUUUCCCUUUUAUCCUUGUAACCAAUUAUUCACCGUGGUUGGACUUUUGACAAUUUCUUUUAGGAUGAGCCAAAAAAGACAAAGCGUGGACAAUAAACCUAAAAUGGAUUUUUCUCAGCAUUAUAAAUUUCUUCUUUUUUCGGUUUCUCAAGGUUUUGUAUUUUUGCUUAUAUUUUAAUGAGAACUGUUCUACCUACCGUAUGUUUAGAUAAGCACAUGAAAUGGAAGAAGGAAAAAGAAAUGGAGGACUUCGGAAAUGCAUGAAACCAUAUAUAUGUUUCUUCCGGUUUUGAUAUUUUUUUGGCUUUCAUCUUUUAAUGAUCUGUAGUGGAUUAUAUCUUUAGUUUUGACAUGCACUUUGAUAGUACAAACAGGAAAAUGAUAAUAUAGAGACUGAAUAAGCUUUAAUACAGUUGAGAAUAAAGAAAAUUAACAUUGCUCAAAUUCUCGAAAAAAUUGGGAGCUUCAUACAGACCCAAGUUGUUAUGCUACUUUUCCUGCAUUUGCUCAUAGUUUAGGAAGCAUUACAAUAUGCCUAUCAAGUCUAAGUUCUUCAUCAGUUAUGCUUUUUCUGUCGGUUUCUAACUUGCUAUAAUCAGGAAAAAAUAUAGCUCAAGGAACUCAGUAACCAAUUCAAACAACGCUUGAUCAUGUGAGAUUGAGAAUAACUAGAACCUAUCCUGUUUAUGUGUUUACUAUACACUGAAAAGUUUAUACACUCAUACGAAUAUAAUGUUUCACACAUGAUGCAGAUUGACAAGAACAUAUUUGGCAUGAGGAGAUCAGGAGUUGUGUGUUUGGUCAUUUUCUAUAAUCACAGAUAUGCAGCACAUCAAGAGCUACAUGUCACAACUAUACACAGAAAAAUAAUUCACAAAAUAAAUGAGGCACUGAGGUAUAUGGGUAAUCAGAAGAAAUCUUUUUUUUUUUUGGGUCAAAUCAGAAGAAAUCUUUUAUGUAAUCUGAUUUCCAGCUUAGAGAUUUUUCUUAAAUUUAAGCUUCUUAUAAACCAAACUAAUUCUAACCUUUAAAAUUAAAUUAGUUCAUAUAUAUUAAACCAUUGACGCAAUUUAAUCCUAAAAAUCCCUAUUUGUUCGCUUCCAAAUCAAAAUUUGGGAAAGCAUUAUAUGCAAUGUAUCAAAAAAUAGGAAACAAUAUUGACCAUUAUAUUUGACCAUAAACUUAAGCGGAUCAAAUUGAUUAAAUUGACUAAUUAUUUUUAUGUCAACAUUUAUGAUGAUUUCUUAAUCAAAAAGUCUUGGUGCUUAAUUUAAGGGAUUGCAUGUAACUUAAAAUAGACUUCCUUUUUGAACGUAUUGGACAAUCAGUCAAGAUUUCGUUUACAAUAUAAAUCUUAUAGUCCCAGAUGACAUGUUCUUUAUACGACAUAUAACUCCCAACUUAGUGAGUCACGUAUCAAAUAAAACGAAAAAGGAGUAUGUUAUUAUUAAAUUAUGAAAGUCUAGAUAUUAAUAUAUAUUGAUAUGUGUUUCAUAUACGUGCCAUAAUUAAGUUGACACUAUAUAAAAGUAGUAAAACAAAGACACGACACAUUAUCCACAUUCACCAGAACACCUAUUUUGUGGACAGUAGGAAGAUCUACAUAAUAUAAUUUUCAAUCUUUAGGUAUUAAAAAUAAUAUAAUUAUUUGUAAAACUAUUUUUUUGUAGACAGUGAACCAUAUCAACUAUAUAAUAUAAUUAUUUUGUAUAUAGUUAUAAAGAUAAUAUAAUUAUUUUUUGACAAACAGUAUGACCAUAUCAACUAUAUACUAUAAUUAUUUUGUAUAUAUUUAUAUAACUAUAUAAUUUAGUUUAUAUAUGUGCGGUUUAUGUAGACAUUGUAAACACGUUUUAGAAACAUAACCAUGAUAAAGAAUCGUUGAUGCAUCUAACGAUUACAAAUGUCUACUAAGGUUGGUAAUACAUGUAAUUAUGCUAAAAUAGGGCUUUUAAUUAAAACUUAAAAGUUAAAAGUGUGAGAAAAGCUCUUGUGAUGACACAUAGGAAAUGAAAUUUUGGUUAAUAACACAUGAGAAUAAAGUUAGUUUAUGGAAAUUCUUCUCUUUUAAUAAAAAGCGAAUGUAGAUAAAAUUGGCUUAUUGGAGGGAUUUGAGAGUUUAUCAAAUUUUCAUAUUAUAUUUAGAAUUUAUAAAAAUGAUAUAAAAUUCAAGUUUAUUGAUUUAAUCAUUUAUAUAGAUUUUCAAAAUAUCACCUCUUAUGGUAGUAUAUAAAUUUUAAAUAGACUAUUCAAUUCUUUCUACUUGAUCACCAAAUAAAUUACUGAAAGAAGAAAAUACAAAUAAUACAUGGAAUUAAUUGUUAAGUUAUUAUAUAUUUGAUAAAAUAAUAUAUAUAUAUAUAAUAUUUUAAAGGAUAAAAUAUUAUUUAAAUAAUCUUAAUGUUAAAAUGUAACUUCAAAUGACUUUAAAGUUUAGAACAGUAAUUUUGCAAAACGACUCAAUUCUCAUAUUUCAUUGAAUUUAUUAUCUAUUCAAAUUCUAACUCCCUGGUCCAAAUCAUUAAUGCUAAGUUCUCAUAUUCAGAUCUCCUUUUGUUAUUAACUGCAUAUAUGUUACCAAAUUUAGGUAAACUAGUUACAUAAUGCAUAUGCAAAAAGUCGUUAUGUAAGAAAAUCGGUCAAAGCAAUAAAAGUAAUAAAGACCAUAUCUUUUUGAACAUAAUUAAGACCAUAUUUUUUCUUAUGUGUAUAUAUAUUCAGUACAUUUUUCUUAAUCAUAUAUGCACAUAAGAAAAAGUUUAAGAAAUAUGAAUAUGAAGAAAUGCAUUUUAUUGAUGAUGAUGGUAUCAAUAAUAAUUUUGACCAUGGAAAGAAAAGUAGAAGGCACUGCAUGCAUGACCAAAUGUUUGUUCUUGUGCGGACUUUUCUUUCAACAUCCAGUAGCAUGCGAAGACAAAUGUGAGCUCAAAUGCCAUCCACCUCUUUCAUCUCAAUCAUCACAGAUGGAGACUAUGGGAAUGAGAAACAUAAGAGGAUAAAUAUAUCAAGCAAAUAAUUAUGAUAUUUGUUAGAACGUUUUUUAUUUACGCUCGCUAUGUUCCUAACUCUAUACACAUAUGAAUGUU